UACGGGGGGGGCAAGCGUUGUUCGGAAUUACUGGGCGUAAAGGGUUCGUAGGUGGCUUGUUAAGUCAGACGUGAAAUCCCUCGGCUCAACCGGGGAACUGCGUCUGAGACUGAUGAGCUCGAGUGCAGGAGAGGAACGCGGAAUUCCAGGUGUAGCGGUGAAAUGCGUAGAUAUCUGGAGGAACACCGGUGGCGAAGGCGGCGUUCUGGACUGUCUCUGACACUGAAGAACGAAAGCCAGGGGAGCAAACGGG
rnacentral:rRNA from 1 species